rnacentral:lncRNA from 1 species
GGGGGGGGCUAGGAUGAAAAAUUUUGUCCUGCAUUUAUUUUAGUUGUAAUCUCUGUCCUGCCUUUUUAUUUUCACUCUAUUCGGUCCUGCUUUUUUUUUAUUAGUUUAUCCUGACUUUUUUUUACCUAAAUGGUCAUCCUGCCUUUUUUUUUUUUUGCAAAGUGUCUCAUCCUGCCUUUUUUUUUACUCAAAACUCCUGUCCUGCCUAUUUUUUUCAAAUUUCAUCCUAGCCCCCCCAUAAAAAUCAAAUGGUAGCUCCCUAAUACGCACAGUAAAACUCAGUUUAAGAGAAGUCCGAGUCCGAUUUCAGAAUAUGAAACAAAAGAAAAUAAACAAAAUGACAAUAAUACAUAAAUAACAACAGACUACUAGCAGUUACUGACAUGUCAGCUCCAG